CGGGUGAGUAGCACGUAUCCAACCUGCCGUCUACUCUUGGACAGCCUUCUGAAAGGAAGAUUAAUACAAGAUGGCAUCAUGAGUCCGCAUGUUCACAUGAUUAAAGGUAUUCCGGUAGACGAUGGGGAUGCGUUCCAUUAGAUAGUAGGCGGGGUAACGGCCCACCUAGUCUUCGAUGGAUAGGGGUUCUGAGAGGAAGGUCCCCCACAUUGGAACUGAGACACGGUCCAA
rnacentral:rRNA from 1 species